CGGGGCUCCCGGAGCGCGCUCCACUGGGGGGCUGCGCGGGGCCGCCUGAGCUCCGGCGCCCCAGGCUGAGGAUGCCGUGGUGGAGGCAGGUACAAGGUCUCCUUGGCCAAAAAUCUUUGUGAAGACACUUGGAAGACUUCUCUUCAACACGUCUAAGGAUCCCUGUUUGCAUCACAGUUUGUGGUAGCGAGAAGCUGGAGGAAACCAUGGCUGAAGAAAGAGUAUUAUCUCCGGUUAGCUACUCAGAAUCUUUGUAUUCUAGGUUAGAUCAGAGCCCACUUUGAGCUCUCUGCUUCCCAGCUCCAAACACAAGCCCUCCUGAAGGAAGACGAAAUUGUGGAGAAUGGUGAACGGAGCAUGCCUUCUGUCUCCCUCCCAGGAGAUCUGCAUUGUAACCUUAUCACGCUGUGCCACCAGGCUGUUAUACAUCUAGCAUUAGCUUAUUUAGCCUUUUGGGAAUUGCUUUCCUGGAAUUAUUGUGCAGCUUUACCUUUAACUUCUAUGGAAAGUCACUUCAAAGACCUUUUGAAAUUUAUCAUUGCACUUGCCUCUGAGAACAUUGCCCUCCAUAGCACUUGGUGUCCCAUUAAUAAAGUCUCACUUGAGAUGAUUUUUCCGGGAAAAGCUUAUGCUUGUGCUAAGGAACUAGUAAGUUUCAUUCUUUCUAAUACUAGGAAUUCUGUAAUUGCUUGUUUCACAAUUUUUAGUAAGAAAGCUCAGAAUCAAAUUUCAACUUAACUACAAUAAUUAUUUUGACAUAUUUAGGUUGUGAUAUUGUAAUAGGCUGCUGGAACAGGAGGAUGUUUGAAAACUGAAGACAAUACAACUUAGUGAAAUCUUUCUUGAGCAUAACUUUUAUUUUGGA